rnacentral:rRNA from 1 species
UACGUAGGGUGCGAGCGUUGUCCGGAAUUAUUGGGCGUAAAGGGCUCGUAGGCGGUUUGUCGCGUCGGGGAGUGAAAACACCGGGCUUAACUCGGUGCUUGCUUUCGAUACGGGCAGACUAGAGGUAUGCAGGGGAGAACGGAAUUCCUGGUGUAGCGGUGAAAUGCGCAGAUAUCAGGAGGAACACCGGUGGCGAAGGCGGUUCUCUGGGCAUGAUCUGACGCUGAGGAGCGAAAGUGUGGGGAGCGAACAGG